rnacentral:rRNA from 1 species
UCGGUAAAAGAUGGGCCCGCAUCUGAUUAGCUAGUUGGUGAGAUAACAGCCCACCAAGGCAACGAUCAGUAGCCGACCUGAGAGGGUGACCGGCCACAUUGGGACUGAGACACGGCCCAAACUCCUACGGGAGGCAGCAGUGGGGAAUAUUGCACAAUGGGGGAAACCCUGAUGCAGCAACGCCGCGUGAAGGAAGACGGUUUUCGGAUUGUAAACUUCUAUCAAUAGGGAAGAAAGAAAUGACGGUACCUAAAUAAGAAGCCCCGGCUAACUACGUGCCAGCAGCCGCGGUAAUACGUAGGGGGCAAGCGUUAUCCGGAAUUACUGGGUGUAAAGGGAGAGUAGGCGGCAAGGUAAGCGAUAUGUGAAAGCCUUAGGCUUAACCUGAGGAUUGCAUAACGAACUAUCUAGCUAGAGUACAGGAGAGGAAAGCGGAAUUCCUAGUGUAGCGGUGAAAUGCGUAGAUAUUAGGAAGAACACCAGUGGCGAAGGCGGCUUUCUGGACUGAAACUGACGCUGGGGCUCGAAAGCGUGGGGAGCGAACAGGAUUAGAUACCCUGGUAGUCCACGCUGUAAACGAUGAGUGCUAGGUGUCGGGGAGGAAUCCUCG